UACGAAGGGUGCAAGCGUUACUCGGAAUUACUGGGCGUAAAGCGUGCGUAGGUGGUUGUUUAAGUCUGUCGUGAAAGCCCUGGGCUCAACCUGGGAAUUGCGAUGGAUACUGGGCAGCUAGAGUGUGGUAGAGGAUAGUGGAAUUUCCGGUGUAGCAGUGAAAUGCGUAGAGAUCGGAAGGAACAUCUGUGGCGAAGGCGACUAUCUGGGCCAACACUGACACUGAGGCACGAAAGCGUGGGGAGCAAACAGG
rnacentral:rRNA from 1 species